AAAAGCAAAGUGAUGUCCUAUAGUGAAUAAACAAGUCCUUCUGUUGGGCAGAUCUGGCUUUAAAUCCACUUGGUCAAUUUACACUUCCUAAAUCUGUAACCUCAUCUAAAGUAUAAAUAUAUUAAUAUACCUACUUUGUAAAAUUAUUGUGGUAAGUUAUAUAUGAGAUUUAAAAUAUUUAAUCUAAUGCCAGGCACAUAGCAAAUAUUAAUAAUAAAUAUUAGUUACUCUUAUUAUAAAUCUGUUUAGUAUGGAAUACAGUUUAGUAUUGAAUAUCGGGACAGAGUGAACAUGUAAGUACAUCAAUGGGAAGGAACUCCCAGAAACUUACCUGGUUUCCAGCAGAAGGAGAUAUGAGAGACAAAAUAAUAUAAAGGUAACUUUACUAAGUUUAAGAAAUAUUUAUGAAUACCUUUUUUCUAACUACUAGACACUUUGCUAGACUGCUGGAUAUACAAAGACAAAUGAGAAGUGAGCAGAUUGCUGGAUAUACAAGUGAGAAGUGGUCCUUGACUUGGUAGUCUAGUAGACAGAUAAACAAAUACAUGUAAGAAAGCAUUAUAUUUCUUACAAUAGAAAUGUUUUUUGUAUGCACAAAGAAGGGGGUGGGCUGGAAAAAUAAUGUAGUCAAGGUGACUUGCUCAAUACUGAAACUGCUCAUUAACUACUUAGGCCAGCACUUACGGCACACUUGUCAGGAUGCCUUGCUAAUAUUUUCUGCUUCCAGUACAGAACAGAGAUUACAGGUUUAAGCCAAUUUUGUUCAACAGAUGAGAAACCCAGUGUCCAAGGAUGAAAGAAUACUUGUUAUACAAGGAAUGUGAAUAUUCCAGAGAUUUAUGCUCAAAGUCCCCAGGUUAGUGUCUUUCUUCCUCACUAGACUGUAAGCUCCUUGAAGACAAAUAUCUUGAGUGUUACCUUGUUCACUCUUGAAUUGUCAAAACUUGACCCAGGACUAGGUAUGUGGUAUACAAUCAAUAAAAAAUUGUUGAAUGAAUGUUCUUCCAAAUCCUCCCAUGGCAAAAACGGAAGAAACAUUCACGAGUGGACUGCUAGUUGACUGUUUCUCUCAUCGCUAUUGACAGUCUGAAACGGACAAAGACAUCUAUAUAAUCAUUCCUUCCUUUCAAAUAAAUAAUCUGUGAAUUACGCUAUUCUUUUCCUAUUGCUUCAGGACAAGCUAUUUGACAGAAAGCUUUUAAGAAAGGCUUUGCAAGAAAACUCUGCAACAGAGAUGGCACGUAUGAAUUGCUGUGAUCUGGAGUUGAAGACAAGAACAAAAGUAACUCUAGAGCAGAAUUCUUUGACCGAAGUCAUCUUACUGGUUGGCGGAGGCUCUCGGUCUACUCGCAUCCGGUGCUUGAAAGUUCAGACAGGCAAAGAUGAGAGGUAGCAUCUAGUCAACAUCCAUUUCUUGAGCACUUACUACAUGUCAGCCACUUUGCUUAGUCCCCGGUUUUACUGCACUCUGCUUGGAAGUGGUGGAGAGAUUCGGCGGGAUCUUCUUAGGACCAAUCCUACAAAGUUCCCGAUGGAACUCAUUUUGAUUUGGGGGACGGUUUAUUUGCAGGGAUUAGGUGGAGCAACAGGGCCUGCUACUCAAAAGGAAUGAGAAACUGUAACUAACAGGAGGUGGACUGGGAAGGAGCAUGGCAAAGUCACCCCUUUUCACAGGGCAACUCUCCAAAGACCACGCUCAAGUUGGGGUGGCAGGGUUCUCAACAUGGGGCCCCGACCCGGGCCUC
ensembl:lncRNA